ACAACAAAACCUACAUCCUUCACAACCGGGAUGCUAUGUGUGCUGGUUUCUUUCAGCCAUUGCCUCCAACCAGUUGCGUUGUGGAUAAUGCUGUUACACACUGUGUACGGCUUUUGCCUAUUGAGAUGCCUGUCCAAAUCUGUCGCUGUCCACCAGAGGCAUUGAGGGUCAUCCAAGGAAAGGCAGUUGCUUUGGUCACAAUAAAUGGACGGUAUGAUCUCAACAUGCCAGAGCUAAGCUGCGAGGGAUGCCAG